CUACGUGCCAGCAGCCGCGGUAAUACGGAAGGUCCAGGCGUUAUCCGGAUUUAUUGGGUUUAAAGGGAGCGUAGGCGGAUUGUUAAGUCAGCGGUUAAAGGGUGUGGCUCAACCAUACAUUGCCGUUGAAACUGGCGAUCUUGAGUGCAGACAGGGAUGCCGGAAUUCGUGGUGUAGCGGUGAAAUGCUUAGAUAUCACGAAGAACUCCGAUCGCGAAGGCAGGUGUCCGGGCUGCAACUGACGCUGAGGCUCGAAAGUGUGGGUAUCAAACAGGAUUAGAUACCCUGGUAGUCCACACAGUAAACGAUGUAUACUCGCGGUUUGCGAUAGAUUGUAAGCCGCCAAGCGAAAGCAUUAAGUAUACCACCUGGGGAGUACGCCGGCAACGGUGAAACUCAAAGGAAUUGACGGGGGCCCGCACAAGCGGAGGAACAUGUGGUUUAAUUCGAUGAUACGCGAGGAACCUUACCCGGGCUUGAACUAACGGUGACGAAUCUAGAGAUAG
rnacentral:rRNA from 1 species